GAGAGAGAGAGAGAGAGAGAGGGGAGAGGAAGGGGCUGGCAGCACAUGAUCACACGGGCUGGAUCCAGUCACUCAUCUACUGGAGCGUUCAUAAUUGAGGUGGCGUCCACAUAUGGGAAUACAACGGGGCGAGAUUGUGAUCGCACCUGAUUCUGGAGGACACCGUGCGGCGAAAAGGUGGCCAAAUCCGGGGGACUUUGCCCGUACCAGCCGAGAGAAAGACUGAAAGAGAGAAAGAGAGGGGGAGAAAGAGAGAAAGAGAGGGAGAGGGAGGGAGAAAGAGAAAGAGCGGCAGCCCCAAAACACCAUCCGGGAGCUGAUCUGGAAUCAGACGUGACGACUAAUCUACAUCAGAGCUCCAUCAAAGCUGAAAGCACCGAGGAAAGAGCUGCUCCUAUAAAAAAAAAAGAGAGAACACGCUCCUACACGUCGCCAUCCGCCUCAGCUUCCUGGAGUUCACGGACCGUGUAAACAGGAGCCUGAGAAGAGCGCUUGGAGACUUUGAAGGAGUUGUGUCGGGAAGAAUAGUGCAGAUGGUGUGGCAUCAUCUCCUUCCCUGUCAGCCCCACUUCAAAAAAUGUAACAAAGUGUGCAGCGGUAAUUUGCGUACCUUGUGGCACCGCUCAGCUGGAG